rnacentral:rRNA from 1 species
AGGGAUUGCCCUAGUAACGGCGAGUGAAGCGGCAACAGCUCAAAUUUGAAAUCUGGCGCAAGCCCGAGUUGUAAUUUGUAGAGGAUGCUUCUAGGUAGCGACCGGUCUAAGUUCCUUGGAACAGGACGUCAUAGAGGGUGAGAAUCCCGUAUGUGACUGGCCCGCACCUUCUACGUAGCUCCUUCGACGAGUCGAGUUGUUUGGGAAUGCAGCUCUAAAUGGGAGGUAAAUUUCUUCUAAAGCUAAAUACCGGCCAGAGACCGAUAGCGCACAAGUAGAGUGAUCGAAAGAUGAAAAGCACUUUGGAAAGAGAGUUAAAAAGCACGUGAAAUUGUUGAAAGGGAAGCGCUCACAACCAGACUUCUAGGCAGUGUUCCGCCGGUCUUUUGACCGGUCUACUCUCUGUCUCGAGGCCAACAUCAUCUGGGACCGCCGGAUAAGACCUUAGGAAUGUAGCUCCCCUCGGGGAGUGUUAUAGCCUCUGGUGAUGCGGCGCGUCUCGGGUGAGGUCCGCGCUUCGGCAAGGAUGUUGGCGUAAUGGUUGUCAGCGGCCCGUCUUGAAACACGGACCAAGGAGUCUAACAUCUAUGCGAGUGUUCGGGUGUCAAACCCCUACGCGUAAUGAAAGUGAACGGAGGUGGGAAGCGUAAGCUGCACCAUCGACCGAUCCUGAUGUCCUCGGAUGGAUUUGAGUAAGAGCAUAGCUGUUGGGACCCGAAAGAUGGUGAACUAUGCCUGAAUAGGGUGAAGCCAGAGGAAACUCUGGUGGAGGCUCGCAGCGGUUCUGACGUGCAAAUCGAUCGUCAAAUUUGGGU